GAUGAACGCUGCGGCGUGCUUAACACAUGCAAGGCGAACGAUGAAGCCCAGCUUGCUGGGUGGAUUAGUGGCGAACGGGUGAGUAACACGGGAGUAACCUGCCCUUAACUCUGGGAUAAGCCUGGGAAACUGGGUCUAAUACCGGAUAGGAGCGUCCACCGCAUGGUGGGUGUUGGAAAGAUUUAUCGGUUUUGGAUGGACUCGCGGCCUAUCAGCUUGUUGGUGAGGUAAUGGCUCACCAAGGCGACGACGGGUAGCCGGCCUGAGAGGGUGACCGGCCACACUGGGACUGAGACACGGCCCAGACUCCUACGGGAGGCAGCAGUGGGGAAUAUUGCACAAUGGGCGCAAGCCUGAUGCAGCGACGCCGCGUGAGGGAUGACGGCCUUCGGGUUGUAAACCUCUUUCAGUAGGGAAGAAGCGAAAGUGACGGUACCUGCAGAAGAAGCACCGGCUAACUACGUG
rnacentral:rRNA from 1 species